UUUAUCUCCUUCUUGUUCCAAAAUCUCCCAAUAUUUCGGCCAUUUGGCCUCCAUAUUGAGCUUUUUCUGAGCCUUCGCUUCCAUCAGUGAUAGCCACCUUGGGGUUUUAUUUUCAAGUAAGUCUUUAUAUCUUAUCCAGACAUUGAACAAUGCUUUCCUGACAAUAUGGUUUUUAAAUGCUUUAUGUGCUUUGACCUUCUGAUUCAUAGUAAAGUUUAAGGUCUGGCAGGGCAAAUCCACCUCUUUCUUUUGCAUCAGUUAGUAUUUUAAAUUUUAUUCUGGGCUUCUUGCCCUGCCAGACAAAUCUAGAAAUAUCUCUCUGCCAAUUCUUGAAUCAGUCCAUUUUGUCCAAAAUUUGCAAUGAUUGAAACAAAAACAACAUUCUUGGCAAUACAUUCAUUUUUAUAGCAGCAAUACGGCCUAGCAAGGAAAGCUUCAAAUUUGACCAUAUUUCUAAAUCCUUUUUCACUUCUGACCAACAUUUUUCAUAGUUAUCUUUAAAUAAAUUCAAGUUCUUAGCGGUCAUAUUAACCCCCAGGUAUUUUACUUUCUUGACCAAUGUUAAACCUGUAUCCGUCUGAAACCUCUCUUUCUCAAUCGGUGUUAGAUUUUUCUCUAGAACCUUAGUUUUUAACUUAUUCAACUUAAAUCCUGCAACCUGACCAAAUUCUUGAAUCAAUU